ensembl:lncRNA
GUCUUCAAAAUUUGAUCAAGCCUGAAUUUUUAAAGUGAUGAGCUAAUUUCUUUGGUGCAGGAAACUUCAAGAUGGGGGUGUGGGGAGGAAGUAGAGGGUAGCAUCCAGGGUGUGGCAUGGUUACUCCUUGCUGCUCUCAGUUGACAGCACAGUGAGAGACAGAGCAACAAGAUCAAAAGCAAAGCCAACAACAAACAAACAAAAACAAGUGGGCAACCAAGACAGUUUGUCUAGGAAGGAAACAUGAGCAAGCUUCAUGUUUCAGACAAGGUGGUGGUGGAGAAAGAUUAGUGCCUAUAAAGGGAAGCCUCCAGCUCUUCAGUGGGACAAUAGAAGAGGUUUCCUGAGGAUGCUGGAGAUGCCAUGGACAUCCAUCAAGGAAAGCGUCAGUCACCAAGUGGAGCUGGCCUGUGCUGCAGGUGGCAGAGCUGGAUGGGUGGAGCCACUCAAAGCUGUUGGAGCUCAGUGGACUCAGGAGCUCCAGGUGCCCAACAUCCAUGUUGGCAGGACUUGGUGUUUGCCUUGCUGGGUUUUGAUGUUGCUUUGGUCUGGUCCUUCUCUACUUUGCCCCCAUUCCUCACAGCAUGUGGGUGAGUGCUUUCUAUUCACUGUGCCACUAUUCACUGGAAAUCUCUAGCUUGUUUUUUCGUUUCAUAGGGCCUUGCUGCUAAGAGAUUACUGUGAAUAUUAGAAGAGACUUUGGACUUUUAAACAGUGUUGAAACUGUUAAGACUAUGGGGACUUUUGAAGCUGGACUACUGUAUCUUGCAUUAUGAGAUGGCCAUGAGCCUCUGAGGGUCAGGUUUGGAGACAGUAUUUCUCGCUGGUCUGGAACUCACCAAGUAGUCCAGCAAACACCAGAGUCACCCUCUCCACCUCCCCAGAGCUGGGACACAAGCCUGAGCUUUGAGCUUACAAGAUGCACAUGAUCUGGCUGCAUUUUCAUCCUCUGAAUGGAAUCCUCCUGCAGUUUAGGGCUCUGCCUCAGAGCUGCUGGCAUCACUUACUGACCGACAUCUAGAUAAACAUCACCGCAGUGAACAUCUCAUCGUCAAGUCCACACACAUCCUUAAUUAUUUCCUCUCUGUAAUCCCUAACCUCAGGGAAGCCAAGUUGCUGUUUAUUCAAACUUGGUAGAUUAGUAAUAUCUACAUAGACUUCCAGAAAAGCUCUCUGAACAAAUCUAUACUUUGAAGAGCAGGGUUCAGGGUAGACAGGGUUUUGAAAAAAACCCUGUAUUUCAGAGGCUUUUUGGCCACUAAAACUCUGAUGAUAUUCCAAGUUAGAAUAUUCUAGUAACUUCAGGAAGCUGAGCCAGUGGUCCACUGUGCCUGCAGAGGAAAGAAGGAGGAGGAGGGGGAAAGAUGGAGAAGUUGAAUUCUGUGCCUCUUUCCCAGGAUCAGCUUGCUACAUGUUUGGGCUUUCAGAUUAUUUGUACACUGGGUAGGAAGAAAGCAGGCCAGUUGAUGUUUUGAUGUCUAGGGGCACAGGAAGACCUAUCUCAAGUUGAGAAGAUGACUUUACGCAGGAUGUUCAGGUGAUUCACAAAACAUUGCUGCUUAGCCCGAGUGAGGCAGGCACAGGAUCAUCCAGUCAGGGACCCCAGCCCUGGGCCCACCAUCAGCCACACCUCCCUUCUGUUGCUCACUUCUGGUCUCAGGGUCUGCUGGCCAACCUUGUGGGUGAGCAAGAUGAAACACUGGUAUGUGGAAAGAACAUGGGUAAGGCAUAGUACUGACAUCCAGGGUUCCUGGUCAGCCCAGUUUCCUUGUGUAGACCCUGACACCUAUGCCACCGGGCCCUGAAGAUGAGAGGGACUUGGUACAAGAAGCAUGGGGUGCUCUUCAGUUGUACUCGGUUAUGGUGAUUUUUAUCAAGCAAAGAGUGAAUGAGAUUUAGAAAGAAUGAGUUCAUGGGACAGAGAGAUGGAAUGGAGCUAAGAGCUCAAGAGCCAGGGUUCGGUUUCCAGCACCCAUGUCAGGUGACUCCUAACCAUCUGUAGCUCCAGCUCUGGGGAAUCCAGCUGGCUUCUGCUUGGCUCAGUUCCUGGAGUCUUUUCUCCAGGCUCUCUCUAUCAUCUGAGGGCCCACACCCAUCCCCCAUCUCACCUCCCCCACUGGAGACCCAGUCAGAAUGAAGGUCCUUUCCCAGCUGGUUGGAGCAGCAGGUCCUGCAGCUGUUUCAUUGGCAUUGUGGGUUGCUAAGGCGGAUGGGUUUCCCUAUUCUGAAGACCUGCCCCAGCUGGGAUGGCUUCAGCCCCCUGGGGCAGGAUGACAGCCUUUCUCUGCCAUGCUCACACUCAGGAGCGUUCUCUCACAGCUGUGUCACAUUGGGCAAAACUAUGAAAGGGUUAUUAACGUUUGGAAUUUCAUAGAUUUUUUUUUAGAUCAUAAAACAGACCAUGAAGAGCAGCACUGUCUGUUCUUUGUAAUUGGCCAGCGUUCCCCAAGCAGCCAUUUGGCCACCUUGACAUUCAAUGUUUUCUUGACCCUCGACCCUUUUCUCGCCGAGGAGUGUCUCCUACAGGUCUCUCCCCAGGAUGAAAAAACAAUAAAACUAAAUAUGUAACAGCCAAGGCCUGAGGUUAAUGUCUUUAACAAGAUAAUGUUACUUAGGGGAGCCGUAAAGCAGGUCUGUGAAAUCCUGUCUAGCUGCACAGGCCACGUUAAGAAACCGUGUGCGGCCCUGGCCAGCUUCGAACGGCUCCCUCUGUGCCUGGUUUGUUUUGAUCACAUGUCAGAUUGACCUUUUAAUACUGUCAUUCAAUGUUUGCACUCAUAGGGGGAGACCCUUUAGUACUGUCAUUCAACGUCCCCACUCAGUGGGGGAAGAGUGUAUGAUGUGACCCUGGUUACCACUGCUCAGCAGGGCUAUUGCCACCUGUAGUCUUUUCUAGACGGAUCUGUGUCCCAGGAUAAAUGGGAUCCGGCUUCCAUGAGGUUGGCCUUUCCUGGUGGGAGUGUGAAGUGUAAUGGGUCUCUUAAGACCGGAAGAGACUGACAACUGGAAUACUCAGCUUAGCAAGCAGAUGUGGCUACCCCACACCAAACAUCUGGUGCCUGCAGAGUAGGAGGGUUGGUGGGGGCACUCCAGGCUCAGUAUGGAUUUUGGCAUCAGAUAAACACAGGCUCACACUCCAGCAGUCAUUUCCACUUGCCUUUGAUGAGCCAUCCCUUAAAACUGUAUGCUUUCUACCCUCAUCCCAGCCAUCAGAGCCAAGUCUCUGCUGUGGACCACAAAACCCCAGGGAAGAAGAGCUGUAAGAUAUCCCAGUGGUGUAUAAGAAGUGGUUAUGGUGGAUUCCCCCUGCCAAAAGCAUCCUUAGUCAAAGAUGAGGGACAGUAAUCCUCACCUCAUUCUGAGAGAUGCAAACUGAAACGAUAGCAAGGGCCAAGGUGAUGGCUCAGCAGGUCAACAGCAGAGUUUGGAUUAAAGCACCCAUGUAAAAGCCGGGUAGGUAUGGCAGCCUUCCUGUAAUCCCAGCACUUGGGGGGUGGGGACCAGAUCCCCAGGGCAAGCUGGCUAGCAACCAGCUGAGUCAGUGAACUCUGGGGUCAAGUAAAAGAUCCUGCCUCAUGACAUCAGCUUCUGGCCUCCACACACAAGGGUACACAUGCACCCACACACAUGCAAACCCACAUGUCCAUGAAGAAAUAAAAGGAAAGAGACCACGAUGAGAUAAAGUCCUAGGGACAGCUAAAAUGUUGAAUAUUGAUGACUGUGCCUAGGUGAGCAAGGACAUAGAGGAUCCUCAGCCACCAGAGACAUGCCUCCAUGGAAACAGCAAAGAAGGAACUGUUCCACCUCAGCACUGGGCUCUUCUUGAUGAAGCUCAGACCGGUAGGGUCAGUCAACCUUGAAGGGAGGGAGAGGACAGCUCAGGGAGAAGGAUGGUGUGGAACUGUCUUGCCUUCAUCAAAGUCGUGGGUCUUAUGGAAACACAGCUCCCAAUCGCAUCACCAUCUGCAUUUUAAAUGCUUCUCAACACUGUUAGCCGUUGGCCCCAUAACUUAAUUCUGAGUCCGGUCUUAUAUGCCCACAUUAAAAAAAUCACAUUCUAUUUGUUUUAUGUGCGUUGUGUGAACAUACAUGUGCCAUGGCCCUUGAGUAGAGAUCAGAGAACAACUUGCAUGAGUUGCUUCUCUCUUUCCAGCAUGUGGGUUCUGGGGAUUGAUCUUGAGUCCCAGGCUUGGCUGCAAACACAUUUACCACUGAGCCAUCUCACUGACCCUUCUGUGCCCAAUUCUGAUGCUAAAUUAAAAAAUAAGUUGUUUUCCUGAGGAGUGGAUGGGAGUGGGAAGCGGAGAAGCAGA